rnacentral:lncRNA from 10 species
UGCUCUACCUCUUUUUUGUCUGUACCUGGUUUCCUGGCCUGGGCCAUGCCAUCCACCAGCCACUCUCGCAGCAGAAAGAUCUAGCCUCCUUAAGACAGGUCUUAUCAGCUACUUUUCUUUGGCAGGCGAAAUCUUGCAAAUCCUACAAAAAGCUCACUAAAGCAGCUCUCACAUGUAAACACAAUCAUACUCGACUCUUUUGCUGGAGAUUUACAACGUGCUCAUUGUCUCCGACGAGCAGCAUAUUCUAUUUGCGUGUCUAGGAGGGAAUGGUACAAAACCAUUCAUUUUUUUUCCUCCCAUUUACAUGUAAUGAUAUGAUGGACUAGCAGAAGAAUAAUUAGCCAAAACUUGCAACCAGUGGCUCCUGAUCAACCAGAACCUUUUGAGCAUAAGUUGCUUAAAUAAUUAAAAAUUCAUGAUUAUAAUUGUAUCAAAUUUUUUAAAAUAAACAUUCUAAUAUGGAAGACUAUAAAGUAUAUCCUAACCAGUCCUUCACUUCAAAUUGUUCACAUUGUAUCCAGGAAAAAGGAAAAUGAUUUUACACAGUGAGUUUGUCAACCUCUCUUAUUUUCUAAAAUAAAGUCCUCAAGAGUCCCAUCUGUCUAGAACUAUUUACAUAAAAUCUUCCAGGACCUAAGAAGCUUGACGGAAAAAAAAUACCUCUGAAAAUGUAAUCUGAUGUUUCCUAAUUCUCUCUUCAGGUGACAGACUACUCUAGGACUGCUGCAGAUUAGCACCAUUAUUAUUAUUAUUUUUUUGAGACGGAGUCUCACUGUGUCGCCCAGGCUGGAGUGAAGUGGCACAGUCUCUGCUCACUGCAAGCUCUACCUCCCGGGUUCACGCCAUUCUCCUGCCUCAGCCUCCCAAGUAGGUGGGA